UACGAAGGGGGCUAGCGUUGUUCGGAAUUACUGGGCGUAAAGCGCGCGCAGGCGGUUCUCCAAGUCAGUGGUGAAAGCCCGGAGCUCAACUCCGGAAUUGCCAUUGAAACUGUUGAACUCGAGGACGAGAGAGGUGAGUGGAAUUCCCAGUGUAGAGGUGAAAUUCGUAGAUAUUGGGAAGAACACCGGUGGCGAAGGCGGCUCACUGGCCCGAUACUGACGCUGAUGCACGAAAGCUAGGGGAGCAAACAGG
rnacentral:rRNA from 1 species